UGCUACAGGGAUUGCUCUAAGCAGUCAGCUGCCUGGCUGUUUACUGUCAGUCUCUCAAGAUAAAAUGGUGAAAGUCUGGGACAUACAGGUAGGCGUUUUUUCUCAUUACUCACUUUUAUCGACGUCGAUUCCACUGUUUCAAUUCACACAAUUUUCAUCCAAUUCACCCUUCCUUUCUUUCUUUUCAACAGGACAACAAGCCUUCCUUCGUCGUUUCUCGGGAUAUGAAAAUGGUUAGUAAUGACAAUUGAAUUACACGUUUGAAUGGCAGCAGAAUGGUGGUCCAUUUCACAAAAAUUCACGCUUAUAUUAAGAGCGAGAAAAUUACACUACAUCUCUCGAAUGUUAAAGGGUUUUGGAGAGCAGGAAUCGAGC